rnacentral:rRNA from 1 species
AUUUUAAAUCACCUAGGUUACCUGGGCGAGUUGUAAUUUGAAGAAAGUGUUUUGAUGCUCUGGUUUUGUCUAAAUCCUUUGGGAUAAGGUAUCAUAGAGGGUGAGAAUCCCGUUCAUGAUUUAAACCCUGGGUGUCACCUAAUUCACUUUCUAAGAGUCGAGUUGUUUGGGAUUGCAGCUCAAAAUGGGUGGUAAAUUUCACCUAAGGCUAAAUAUAUGCAAGAGACCGAUAGCGAACAAGUACCGUGAGGGAAAGAUGAAAAGAACUUUGAAAAGAGAGUUAAAUAGUACGUGAAAUUGUUGAAAGGGAAACGAUUGAAGUCAGUCAUGCUUGCAGGGAAUCAGCAAUGGUGGUUUAUUCUUCCUUGUGCACUUUCUUGCUUGGCAGGUUAGCAUCAAUUUCGAUUGUCAUUAAAGAAUUGGGGGAAUGUGGCUUCUUCGGGAGUGUUAUAGACCCUGGUAGAUGUGGCGAUCGGGAUUGAGGAUUGCAGCGAAUGCUUUUUGGCUAGUCACCUGGCUUCUGAUAGUCGCCUUGCUUCCGAUAGCUUGCUAAUGGUGGUGAGACUCGAUUGUCUAGAAGUUAG